GGAGUCUAACGUGCACGCGAGUCAUUGGGCGUUUAAACCCAGAGGCGUAAUGAAAGUGAAGGGAGGGCUCGUCCCUCCCUAGGGACGAUGGUCGGGCCCGAGAGGGCACGGCCCGCAGUCCCGGGGCGUCUGCCCGCCGAUUACCGGUGGAGGCGCACUCAGAGCGUGCGCGCUGGGACCCGAAAGAUGGUGAACUAUGCCUGGCCAGGACGAAGCCAGGGGAAACCCUGGUGGAGGUCCGUAGCGAUUCUGACGUGCAAAUCGAUCGUUAGAGCUGGGUAUAGGGGCGAAAGACUAAUCGAACUAUCUAGUAGCUGGUUCCCGCCGAAGUUUCCCUCAGGAUAGCUGGCGCUCACGAGACCGCGAGUCUCAUCUGGUAAAGCGAAUGAUUAGAGGCCUUGGGGUCGAAACGACCUCAACCUAUUCUCAAACUUUAAAUGGAUGAGAACCCCGGCUUGCUUAAAUCACUCAUUUUCGUGAAGCCGGGGCGCAGAGGAUCAGAGUGCCAAGUGGGCCAUUUUUG
rnacentral:rRNA from 1 species